rnacentral:lncRNA from 1 species
GUAUCAUGGUGAUUGUAAAUAUAUCACUGACUGACUUGACUUUCAAUGUUUGUGAGCCUGAGGUCUUGGUGAUGAAUGAAUUGUUUUGGAAGUAAUGUUUGUGAGCCUAGUCUUGUCCUCCAUGUUGAUCAAAAAAUUUCAGAAAAAUCUUGAUCUGAAAGUAAUUGGUACAGGGUAUUUGGAAGUUAUGUUGGAAUACAAACUCAAAUGCUAAUGAACAACAAGCAAGCAAACAACUGUAAGAUGCCUGGUGGUAAAAAUAUAGCAAUAAAGCGAUACUAUUUUUUUCAACCAAUAACAAUUCACCUUCAGAUUUUUUCAGUGGCCCUUGACAGCAGC